rnacentral:rRNA from 1 species
GAUGAACGCUGGCGGCGUGCCUAACACAUGCAAGUCGAGCGGACGGACGCUGAGCUUGCUUCUCUGAUGUUAGCGGAAGGGGGGAGUAUAACGCGUGGAUCCCCUCCCUGUAAGACGGGGAUAACCUCGGGAAACCGGAGCUAAUACCGGAGGAUAUCUUGAACCGCGGGGGUGGUUGGUAAGAGACGGCGGUGCGGGCACGAAUAGCGGGAUCUGCGCUUCAUUGGCUGGUUGUGAAGGUAACGGGUUACCAAGGCAACGAGGCAUGGCCGAGCUGAGAGGGUGAUCGGCCACACUGGAACUGAGACACGGUCCAUACUCCUACGGGAGGCAGCAGUAGGCAAUCUUCCGCAGUGGGCGAAAGCCUUACGGAGCGGCGGCGCGUGAGUGAUGACGGUCUUCCGAUCGUAAAGCUCUGUUAUUAGGGAAGAACAUAUGUGUAAGUAACUGUGCACAUCUUGACGGUACCGAAUCAGAAAGCCACGGCUAACUACGUG